rnacentral:tRNA from 1 species
GGGACAGUAGCUCAACCCGGGAGAGCACACGCCUGAAGAGCGUGGUGUUGCGAGUUCAAAUCUCGCCUGUCCCA